UUGUGCAAAAAUACACUACAAACAUUGAUGCAGUUUUCAUUUUUUUUUUUUUUGGUUACUGAUACCUCCAUUAGACAAAAUAAAAAUAGUUUCGGGAUUUUACUUUAAAUCUUAUAUUUUCAGUGAUUUGUUUCCUUAAAAUAAACACAUAGAAAUGAACACAAUAAUAUAUGAAAGUUUCCUGCAUGGUGUUAAAUUAUCCCGUUUUUUAAUAUUUCCUCAUGUUAUUUUUUUUCCGGGAUAAUUGGUAUCAAAAUUAAUGAUAAUUUGGUUCACCGUAGUUAUUCUGACAAUUAUGUUUUGUUUUAAAUUCAAAACAUUGAUAUUUCUCAAUCUACAUUUGUGUAUUUUAUGUAGCGUAUCCUUUAAGGAGUUAUGAGCUUGAUCACUGCUCGUUAUCUUCAUCUCUUCAUUGUAAAACAGACUCGCACCGUGUUGAGUGUUUAUUGAACGUGUAAACGUUUGUACGUUAUGUCGUUUUUCCUCGAUGAUGAAAUAAAAAAAAAUGUAUGUGUACGCAAGUAAUUUGAAACCUGGACCGCAUUUUCAGAUACCACAUACAUAUGUAUAUGUUCAGAGUUAUAACGCAGAUGACAUCUUAUACAAUUUUUUAUAUUUCAUUUCACUUACAACUUCCGUUGUUGUUAUAUAUUUGCCGAAUGUUAUCAAUGAUGUCGUGUUACAUGAACCUUUCUGAAGAUGACUGAAUUCUUUUUUCUAAGCACACUAGUAACCUUUACCAAAUUGUUUUCUGAUGCAUCUGGUAGGGGGAAGUGUAGCUGGUAAGUAUCUUUUUGUACAUUCUAAUAUAUAUUCUAAGGUUUCAUACAAUCAGUGAAAACAUUAGCCUUUGAAUUAUUUAAUAUAAUGAGUAUAUUCCGGUUGUGAUGUCGGCUUUGAUAAUACAAUUUUCACUUCCAUGAUGAUUUCGAUUUUCGAUCUAAGCACCAUACAUCUUUUAAAUAGUACAAAACCGAGAACGAUACAAGGGGCCUCUUGAAACACAGGGGUGGGAGUAUUUAGGAAUUUAAUAAAAUAUUUAUAUUUAUCAAAGACCCAAAAAUAAUACCGUACGGUUUCUUUAUGGAUCAUUGGAUGUGGUUGGAGCUUAUCUAUGACCAUUGUUAUCUACCUGGAAAAUACCUGGCCGAAAGAUCAGGGUGCUGUGCAUACUUUUGAUAUACUCAGGAAAUGUUUCAGGGCCGUCUGUAGAAUUUCUGUGGUCAUAGUGCUUGUAUAAUGAGCUGACACAAAAGUCGACACCUAACCUCAGUUGUGGACAGGUCAAUGCUAUCAAAACUCUGAUAUAUUGGGCUUCCUCAAGAUCGGAAGAAUGCCGGUAAUUAUUGGCCGCUAUUGUUAUCAAAACACCUCUCUGGGAUCUCUCCAGAUCACGCUCUCUGCAGAUAUCAAUCCACCUGAGAUCUAUUGUUAAAAGUCUAAGUGACAGGCGGUUUUUCAUCGAUCAAAAUACAUGUAAUAUUUGGGGGUGUUAACUUAAAUUUUGGUCUUUACCAUGCAUUUAGCUUCUUUUGUAAUCAUUACACUGUACUCACCCUGUGACUGUGGUUGAAAUUUGAACCAAAGAUUAGAGUCAUAAUGAAGAUUGUGUGAUUGAAAAAAAGUUACAUAACCCCAUUUAAGCUCUUAAAAUAUUUAUUUCUACAACAAAUAAUCAAAAUUACUUCCACGACUGCGAAGUAUGUUAUAUACACAUUGGACAUGCCAAUGUACACGUUAACGUCUGAUGGAAUUUCCUCAUUUAAAAACUAAAGAGGAAAGAUCAAACGGAGAUAUAUAAAAAUGUCUUACAAACAUAUAAUUUUCUUAUUUAAAGUUGAUUUUAUUUCACUUUCAUAUGGAGGGCUGAUGAUGGUUGCUGUUCUCGAGAGGUGUGGGAUCCUAAGGUCAACCAGUGUGUUCAAAUCUCUUUUCCUUCACCAACUACGAAUUACUUGACUGAACUGCAAAGAGAAGAUUCAGGUAAAUAUACAAAGAUCCCACUAUGUAUGCCUUGUUACAAUUUGAAAUAUAUGGGUUUUUUAUAUUGUGUAAAUUUAUAAGUCCAUGUAUACAACAGCAUAUACAUUUAUGCAUAGAGCAAAUCUGUACUUGUAUACAUACAAGGACUCUUUUUGUUCAGAGAUAAACGAGUAUAUAUCACAUUUACGUUCCUUAGCCAAGUAAGUUUUUGUUUGUGUAAUUGUAAAGCACUUUCUUUGGAGAAUGUAGUCAAAUUAAUGACAGCUGCUUAGGCUUUGAGAUAAGCUUAUGCUUGCCAGUCCUAAAUUAUAUAUAAAAAAAAUGACUGAUAUAAAUAUGAUUUUGAAAAAGUCUUAACUGACAGUGAAUUUCAUUCUGCCUUCAUUUACGAAUAAAUCUCAACUUUAUUGUUUCAACAUAUAUAUCUAAUAGCUUUCAAAAAGGAGACAUUUAGAUGAUCAGUAGUGGGAAGUCACUCCUAAUCAUAGAGGAGAAAGAAACUAUUUAUAUUGGAAGUUGAUCUGUCCUGGGGAAAUUAUUGUAGGUUACCAUCAAAGGCGGAUUUAACGAACAAUUCCAAUAAUACAAAAUUAACAGUAGCACAGCCAUGUGCAACUGGAGAUAACUGAGUUGGAAUCAAGUGACUCGGAGAGUAAACAUCCCCUGCCGACAGAUCAAACCCGCCGUGAACCUUAUAUCUUGAUUAAGUAAACAUAGUACCCCGUAGUUAAAACCAGUGUGAAGAGAACGGCCUAACAAUUUGUAUGAAACACGUCAAAGAGCGUUUGACCCAACGACAGGUUGUACCGGUAAUUGUGCAGUAAAUUUUGAAAUUUAAGAGGGAUGUAUAAGUUUAAAAUUUCUGAAAAUAAUUAGAUAUUCUAUUAUAGAUAAUUUUAUCAAAUGAAAUGCGAAAUUCCACAUUGCAAAGUUUUUACAGAAGCACAUGUUCAUUAUAUAUGCACUUUACAUCAUAUCCAAAAAAUCAUAUGAUCAUGGUGGUUGUGACCGAUGUAUAGGAGAUGCUUACCCUUCUCAGGCACCUGAUCACACCUUUGGUAUUGUCAGGGUUUGCGUUUUUUCUACUCUUAAUUUAAUAGUCUUUAUAUGGGAUUCAUGAGAUUAAUCUCUGUUCGAUAUCGUCACUUUUUUAUAAACAUAGAUGUUAAAACCAAACAAUUCAGCAUUAUAUCAAACAUGUUCUUUUAAUCUGUUCCAUUGUCGGUUCUUAGGAUUACUUAGCAGUAUCCUAGUAUCACCGCCGCGAUGGUGCAGGGUUCAACCCGCAUGAGGAAGGUCGGAGUUCGAAUCCCGGUCGCGACAGACCUAAGUCGUUAAAACAGUUAGUGACAGUUCCAUCUCCAAAUGCUCGACAUUAAGUAGGAAUGCCACGGGUCCUCGGAAAUGACCAUAAAAACGGAUGUUCCGUGUCAGAGUACUGAACAUGUUGCUGUGGCACGCUAAAAAACCCACAAUGUUCAAUACCAGUAAGCGUCGAGCAUAGGUCUAAAUUUGAAGCCCUUCAUCGGUAUUGGGGACGUCUCCAUAUGAGUGAAAAGUUCUUGAAAGGGACGUUAAAGAAGAUACAAUCAGUCAAUAUGUGUAUGUCUCUAAACGGAAUCAAUAUUCGUGGGCAUUUCCCUGCCUUCAAUAAAAUUUCAAAACAUGCUACUGAGAAGUAAAUUGAUGUUACAGCGACGGUGUUAUGAUGCAUAUUCAGUAGCAAAACCUGAGCUAUGGAAUGUUGGAGCUUUUUCUUAAACAUGGGUUUUUGUUUUAUCUCAAUAUUGUUGAAAAUAGAUUGUCAUUACAAGUGUGGUGUUAAAAUGUACCAGAAUAGCAACAGUUAAUUUUUGCGGAAAAGAAAUGUUAAAAAAUAAUGCGUAAUCACUAGAUAUAUACAAUAAAUAUAAAAAUGUUUUAAAUAAAACCAGUGUGAGAAUGCCUUUUGAAGAAGUAAACCAUUCUACAUAUUUUGUUUGAUACUAGCAUUGUAAGAAUUAUUUCUUGACAAAAAUGAUUGAGGUAAUGUUAUGGUCACCCGAAGUAUAUGAAGACACCUCACAAAUAUGUUAUUAUGUCACGAUUUAGAUUUAUUUCAAGAACUCUUGGCGAUAUCAAAACCAUUCAUUUGACCAAAAUUAUCGAUUAUCGUCAAAUGUGAGUGCAUUUUGGGGAAACAGAGAUCCAUUAUACGUGAAAGAGCACCAGAAUAAUUCGUACCUCUCUCAAGGAAGACUUGCAGGUAUACAUGUUUUGUUUCUUCCUUUCACAGAAACUAUCAGUAAAUGAUCCUUAUCUUUUAUUUUAAAAGAGUGCAUAAUGCUAUAAAAUGAAAUAUGUGGUAUGCAUAUUAUUUAUUUUAAAGUGUACAUAAUGCUACAAUUGUGGAUACCAUAGUAAGCAACGUAGUUUGUAGAAAAUAUAUGAUCUACUUAGUAUAUUUUGCUAUCACUAUAUGACUACAUGAAAGGUGAAGAUAACGAACUGUGAUCAAUUUCAUAACUCACUUAAGGAAUACAAAAUGAGAGUUGGGCUAACAUGGACCAGAUAUAUACCUGAACACACAUAGUAGUUUCACAUUCUUCUGUCCUUUAUCAUAAACUCUAGCUUUAAUCGAAAUUCAUAAUAUGAAAGACAAAUAACUAGCAGUUCCGAGAAAUUAAAACAUGGAUAAUUCAAAUCAAAGUGUCUCUUUCCCUUUAUCAUUUGAUAUGCAUUGAUUUGAGGACCUACCAGGCGUUGAGUUUGACUGGAUGAAACAUUCGUUUGAUUUCUGUAUCAAAGGAAAACUCAUUAUGACGUCAAAUUGUGUCUUACAAUAUCAAAGGAAUUUUGAAAGAAGCACGUUAUUCCAAGGUUUUGGUACAUACUCUUCAUUUAUAUACAGAUGAAAUUAAAUGACAAGAAAUAAAUCCGAUACGUCUUUGUUAGAUAAAGGUAUCAAUUGUGGAAAAAGACUGGGGAUUAUUUAAACAAUGCACUACGAGCGUUGAUGCAGAUUUCAUUUUUUUUCUCACUUAUAGUUCUAAUAAACGAACAAAAUAGAUCCAGUACACCGAUCCCCUGUCGUAGCACAAAUCCCGCACACCAUGGUUACGUCAUAGCAACAACGGAUACUCGGAGAAAAAAGUAAACAAUGGUGGUAACUGCAAACGCUUCCGAGAUAAUCCCGGUUAAAAUUUUACUAUGCUACUUUAAAAGUAUCAUCAUUUCAUCCCGAGUGAGGGACAGGGGUUGAUAUUAUUAAUUCAUUUUUAUUUAUAUGCUCUCAAAUUAUUUCAUUCCACUCACAAAAGCGUAGAAAUCGCAUCGAAACGACAGGCCCCGCGUUAGGAUGACGCUCCUCACUCGGGUUUUGUAAUGCUCUUUCCAUGCAGGCUGUUGAGAUUUGUUUUUCAUACAUUUAUUCAAUAAUUUACAUUCGUUGUCAGUAGACUCAUUAAAAUUUGUUAACAUGUCGUAAUGAUUACCAUUUCGAUAACUUCGAUAAGCUGAUGACCACCAACUUACAGACUGAAGACGUGUUCAGAAUUGGCUAUGAAAAUGAAUGCUCCCGCAUUCUUCUCUUUUGAAUCAUUAGAUCUAAAUGUAUAUACAUUUAUAGUAAUCUUGGCCCCAUAAUAGAUUGCAGUUUUCUGCAUUUUAUUAUAAUUCUGUAAAAUACGAACAGCAACAAUUAUAUUACACUACCCUACACAAUGGUAUUGUUCAUUACACUUUCUGGAACAUACAUGUAUUCUUAUAUACAUAUACAUUGGUAUAAAAUGUACAGCAAUGUAAAAAGGGGUGGAUUUAGAUGGACCCCUUCCCCCAUUUUUGUGACAGAUUAAAAGUAGAUUUGACAUUAUACUUAUAGACAAGUGCAUAGAAAUAAACAAAUAAAUUAUUUCUUGUUAUUUGGUGAUUUUACUAUGUGUAAAUAAUAGCAAGAAUAACCCAUAGAAUUAACAACAACAAACAAUCUUCAAAACCCUCGAGUUCCUAACCCAUUGGGUUCCAUUUUGAAAAAUCUUAGAUCUGUCACUAGUAAACAUUUUAAACUAAACCAGACUUCUCCAAAGCUGCCGUGCAACUUAGUUUGCCUCAUUAGUGGUAGGGGCAAUUACACUAAAUGAGCUUCUAAUUUAGAAGAAAAAAAUCGUAGUCAUACAAACUUAUAGGUCAUUCUUAUUCCUUUGUAAUAUGAAACAUUUUUCCUCUUAUUUUAAAUGGUUUUUAAAAUAUAACCUUAAGGGUUUUUCAACCUGCACCUGUUUCAUCCAUGACAUUUUCAAAGUCCAAACCUACACCAAAAAAGAAAUUCGUUUAUGUACAUAAAUAAAAUCAAAUUAAAUCAUAAACACCAAUGCUAUUCACUAGGAAUUCCAUUUAUUUUGAUAAAAUACAUGUAGCAAUAUAAUGAUCACAAUCACUAAUGAUUUUGAACCUUUGAGAUGAAAGGUGUUGCGAAAUUUUCCCUUAAUUCAUAUAAAAUUCCGGAUGCAAAUUUUGAUAUCAAAAUGCUUAAACGUUAUCUACUACUGAGUAGAUUAUAUUUGCUGUGAAAAUAGACUUGUAUAAGAAUAUGUAGCCAGGUUAUUGUGGCCAAUUAGGUUCUAACUGUCCUGUCCUCGUUUUUUCUUCUUUUAUUUGUGAGUUCUUGUUGUAUGGACUGUUAAAUUUACAUACCUAUAAAAUACCUCAUAUCCAAUCAACAAACAACAUUUACUUACAAAACUAUUUUGUUGCAAUUGCAUAUUGGUUGACAACAAUCCAGUCUGACUAAAACCAGCCCCUACUAAUUCACUUCGUUGUACAACGAAGUGGAUUAAUAGGGACUAGCUUUAGUCAGACUGACAACAAUCAAUUGGAGGCAUUUAUCCUUCAAAUAUCAUGUCCGUAUUAGUCUCUUCAUCCAGAUUGAUUAUUAAUAAGAACAAGAUGCUUUUUGAAGUGACUUCAAUAAAUAUAUAUGGUCUUUGAAAUUCAGUAAUUCAAAACAUGUUAUAAUAUUGAACAGUUUCGGUAUUUUGUACCUACUUUUUUCUCUCAAAAUUUCUGAUAAAGUAUACAUUAAUAUUUAAAAUUAAGAGUCAACAUAUCUAAACUAUGUAGUGGCAGUAAUUUUUCUACUGAAAAGUUUAGAGUACUUUAAUUGGUUUAUUGUUCUAUUCAAUCUCCAUAUGUAUCCAUGCAGGUCCAUUUCCUCCUAUUUAACAUCACUCAGGACUUGGUAUCCAGCUAUUGGCCCAUCAUAUUGCCAAGAAAACAAAACAAAAGUACUUUUAACAGAUCCCGGUAGGGUCAUCGUUUAGGUUUUGUUGAAAUAUUCGCUACUAAGUUUAACUGAUACAUUUAAACAAAGGCAUGCAUUAAUUAUCAAUGCCAUUACCAUGUAAUAUAUGGCUAACAAGCACAGGACGACCUGUAAACACUGGAUUUUAGUUGCAUGUGUUUUACAACUUUGCAAACAUGUAUGUAGUGCGCAGUGCAGUGUAGUGUGACAACGUAUCAACCCAUUUCCCCCUAACAAUGACAAAUUCUCUUCUUUUUUCAGCUAUGAUAUACACUUCCUCUGACCCUCCCCUUUUGUGACAGUUGUAGAAAGAGUGUACAUAAAAAUUGAAGGUAUUUGAAUCAGCAAGCGACCCUUCCCCCUCCAUGAAAAUGAUGUUAUGUGCCUGGUUGAUAAAUGUCUACGUAGUACAAUGAACAACAAAGCAUCUUACCGAGUUCAUUGAUACGUUUCUUAGUUAUUUUGUGGACAUUUAACUGAUUUUGAGGCAUGUGACAUAAUGCAAUCAACGUAAUGUACACUUCUGCAAGUCUGUCUUUUGUUGAUGGAAAUGGUGUGAAUUUGACUUCAUUGAGUUUGUCUGGAUACCUACUGUGUGAUUUACAGAUUCGAGAGAAAAAUGUUUAAUCAAACCUUAUACAAAAAGAUGCGUACACACUGUAUUAUUAACGCAUGAUUGGUCGAUACAUUUCUCUCUUUACUUUACAAAACAAUGAAGGAUGUCCGAUGUUUGUCCGAGGCUCGUUGUUGUGGGCGGACCUUAUAUUUUCAGUACAUUUUAUUGGUCAAAAGAUAAGGUCACGAAGUUCAGUGGAUCGGUGUUUUAUAUGUCAGGGAAUGCACUUUGAAUUUUCUAUUUCCAGUGAUUCAUUUCCUUAAAAUAGAUGCAUGCAUUUAUGAAAGUUUCCUGUUUGAUGUUAAAUUAUCAAAACAUAAUUUCGUAAUGACAUUUUUUUUGAAUGAGUGGUAUAAAAAUCAAUGAUAACUUUGUUCACCGUAGUGAUUCUGACAAUUAUGUGGUUUUUCUUUCUUCAAAACAUUAAUGGUUCACAGUCCACAUUUAUGUGUUUAUUGGACGUGUAAGCUAUUGUACAUCAUGUCGUUUUUCCUCGAUGAUGAAAUUUUGAAACGAAAUGUAUGCGUACGCAAGGUAUUAAAACGUAUGCUCUAACUCAGGGCCUACUCAUAUUCUUGUAUUUCCAGAUACCACAUACAUAUGUAUAUGUUUAGAGUUAUAAUGUAGAUUACAUCAUAUACAGUUUCUAUAAUUCAUUUCACUUACAACUUCCGUUGUUGUUAUACAUUUGCCGAAUGUGUUCAAUGGUGACGUGUCACAUGAACCUUUUUCAAGAUGAUUGGAUUCUUUUUUCUAAGCACACUUAUUUUCACCAACUUGUUCUCUUUUGCAUCUGGUAGAAAUGACUGUAGCUCGUAAGUAUCUUUUUGUAUAUUCUAAUGAGUAUCACAGGGUUUCUCACAAUCACUGAGAAUAUUAGCCUUUGAAUUAUUCAAUAUAAUGAGUAUGUCCCGGUUGUGAUGUUGGCUUUCAUAAUACAUUUUUCAGUCCCAUGAUGAUUUCGACUUUUGAAUUGAUCUAAGCAUCAUGCAUUUUAUAAACAGUGCAAAACCGAGGACAAUGUAAAAGGUAUCUUGAAACAGGGGGGGGGGGGGUCGGACAGGUAUCGGAGCUCUUAAAUAUUUAUUUCUAUAACACAUAUUUAAAAUUACUUUCACAACUGCGAAGUACGCUAUCGACACAUUCGGCACGAACACUGCAUAUGUACACGUUAAAGCUGUUAACCUGGGUGUAAUGGAAAUUAUCAUGCCUAGCUGAAACCAGACUACAAAGCUGUCUGAAGAUUCCCCAUCUAAAAAGUAUAGUGUAAAAGUCAAACGGGGAUAUAUACAAUGUCUUACAAACAUAUUACUUUCUUAUUUAAUGUUGAUUUUGUUUAACUUUCAUAUGGAGGGAUGAUGGUGGCUGCUGUUCUCGAGAGGUUUGGGAUCCUAAUAUAAACCAGUGUGUUCCUUGCAACGUAGGUUAUACCGGAAAAGACUGUAAACAGCAGUGCAGAUACCCCUAUUACGGGAUGUAUUGUUUGAACACGUGUCUCUGCAAUGAGAUGGAUUGUGAUUUCCAAAUCGGAUGUUUACAUUUACAAGGCUCAUCAACAACUCUAGACCAGGUUACGGAUCGGACGGAUGAUAUGAGUAUGCAUACUAUUACAUCUGGUGCUGAGAAACAUCAGGACACGGAAUCAAGUAUGGCAAAGGAUGUCAAUGAAAACCAGUUACUUCACCUCGUGUUAGGAUUUGGCACCGUUUUAUUGAGUUGCACUCUAGCUUAUAUCAUCCUGUGGAUAUACGCAAAAAUAAAGAACAUUCACAGUGAAGACCAAGAGAGACGAUCUUUAUACGCAGAGCCUAACGAUAUUGUGACACUUCACAUAUAAGCACUCUAUUUGAAAUAUAUCUGCUCACCGUGUAUGCAUUUGCUGUAAUGGACCACACUGGAUUUGUGUCAUUCCUGGUAUUUUCGUUCUUUUUUUUCAUUUUAUGAAAAAGUGAAGUUAACAAGGAGUGAUUAGCCUUAGAUAUUCUAUAACAAGUACAACAUUGAAAGUAGGGCCAACACGGUCCACUAGAAACACGAAAGGUAAGAUCGGGUGCAGAAAGUAGUAAAUAUCCCUCACCAAACAGUCACACACGCAAUGAGAUCCGAUUGUUGAUCAGGUCAAUGAGGUAGUCAGUAUAUUAAAAGAACUGCCUAAUGAUUGUUAUGAAACAAUUCAGAGAACAUUCAACCUACUGUCACAAUGUAUUUAGAAAUAUUAUUAUUACAUGUAUCACGGAAUUUAUGAAAUACUGACUAUAAAUUGGUCUGAGACGUCAAUAUUUUGUCAGUAACUUAAAUCUGAUUAGAAUUUGGUCAUACGUAGAACAUGCUAUCGCGUAUUUAAUCAAUUGAAAUGUUUAAGCAUCAUUUACAGUUGAUAAUGGAGUAUUGCUACACAAAUGUAGGAAAAUGACCUGGGGAAGUUACAGUCAUCCGGUUUGCCAUAAAAUAGACUUGAUAGUGUGUUACUUAUGUCUACUUUAUGGAAUAUACUAGUAUCUAAAUAUUAGCAGAUGCGAACGAUUCUGUGGUGCCUUUAAUUUCGAUUUUAUUUGGAUACAUAAGAUCAACAUAUGAAUAAAUGGGAUUGUGAAGUUUUGGAAUCUUUUCCCAAUCGCCCUAUUGAGUGGAGGUAUUGAUAGCGUUUGAAAUGGAGAGAUGAUGUUGAAGAAUUUCGUCUUUGAAAGGCAACUUUGAGAAUAUGUUAGAUUACCAAAAUGUGAAAAUAAAGCUUCUAAACCAC